rnacentral:rRNA from 1 species
UACGGAGGGUGCGAGCGUUGUCCGGAAUCAUUGGGCGUAAAGAGCGCGUAGGUGGCGGCUUAAGCGUGCGGUGAAAGCUCGGGGCUCAACCCCGAGUCGGCCGUGCGAACUGAGUCGCUUGAGCACUGUAGAGGCAGGCGGAAUUCCGGGUGUAGCGGUGGAAUGCGUAGAGAUCCGGAAGAACACCGGUGGCGAAGGCGGCCUGCUGGGCAGUAGCUGACACUGAGGCGCGACAGCGUGGGGAGCAAACAGG